UCCACUUCACAGUGCUUUGGAUUCAGGCCUCUGUCUUCAGCUGUAUUCCAAAUGCUAAUACCACUGAGAUAAUAUUUGGGAAUCUGAAGACCACAGGCAUGUGACCAAGUUACAUUCUGUUCCUUUUGGAGGUUUAAAAAUGGUUGAAGAAUUAACCAGAUUUCUACCUCUUGGCAAUGACUGAUUAUUCCAGUAGAUUUAUUUUUGGGGUCAUAAUGGAAAACAGGGUUAGAGUUUUGGAUUCGUUUGAGUGCUGGGAUAAAGUUACCCCGGGUUAUGAAGGCUGUGAUCAUUGUGAUCAGCCAACUCCAACUACCGGAAGGAGGAGCAAAAGCAUCCCUGUCUGCAGGUCCGUAAUACUGAUUGUUGUAUCUGGUAAUGCUUCUAUAACUCUAUUUCUCAUCCCCCUACAGAACACGAAAAUAAACAGCCUGUUAGCGUUAAACAUUUACAAGGUUAUAUCCUUGAGAAGGCAAUAAUGUAAUUACACAGUGGGCUGCGGCUUUAGUAUGGUUAUAUUAUCUUUGUUUUAGUUUUGAGAAAUGAUUGGUUACUUUCUCACUUUAAGUGGGAUACUGGGGACUUAAAGUUUGCUUUUCAGAUGAGGCCAAAAGAAGCCUUAGAAUAAUUGUAUAUUCCCACUGAAGUGCAGCAGGUGACAGAGCAGGGGGCAUGCAGCCACUGGUCCACUGCCAACAGUUACAGGGACUCUUCAAGGCCUGAAAAAGCACAGUGCAGCAAGGACAGGCUCUCAAGUUGUCAAAGAGCAAGAAAGCCAGGCUUAAGAAAUAACAGUACCAGGUAAUCUCUACAUGAAUAGCAGAAAAUUGGUUUUGCUGUUGUUUACCAUAAAUUCCCCUCUACUCUAGACUUCUAAUGUCCUUUUUCCACCACUCAAGCUAAUAACCUAUUUGUACUUAUAAAUAUCUCAAGCAGCAAGUAAAUGACAUUUCCAUACCAUCUGUCCAUCUCCCUCCCCUCUCCAUAUCAACAAUAACGAGGCAAUACUGUUCCCCCACCACCAGCAAAUGUAGUUACUGUGGUAACCUCACGCAGUACCCCUCUGAGCUGCUGCCUCCCCAAAUGAACCUUGCUGUAUCCUUCACUGGAAGACUACAGUAGCAAGUUAAUUCCUGUCUUUUCCUCAAAAGUAUGGAACCAAUAAAUGCACUUAAAACUUGUCGGUUUAGAAUUAAUUGGGCAUCUAAUUACAUAGCACCCUGUUUGCCUCCCACAAAAACCUUUGCCUCACUGAGACUGUGCAGGGGCAGAACGAAAUUGAGGGUGGUAUCUGUAAUCCUCACCAUUUCUUCGCUUGACUGGUGACCUAAAUAAAACUUUCAGUAUUAGGUUUUUCCAAGAUGUAAUUUAUACUAUGGCUGUCAGGAGUUAAGAUAGCAGUUGCCAUGGAGCUUUAAUCUUUUUUUAGGCUUUAGUCAAAGGAAGCUGGAAGUCUGCAUGGUGAGUAGAGCCCUGCUCAACUGAAUUUUAUUUAAAUUGGGACAGGAUUUUACCCUAAUUUUCCUAGUGGAAUUUAUUCUCAAAAGUUCUCAAAUUCAUUUUAGUCUAUUCUUUUUCUCAGCGGGAGAUGAGAGUUUCCUUUUAGGCUUCUGAAAUCACGUUACAUUCAAACACAGAAGUAACCCAUUACUUCCCUUCUCCUCCAACUAUAAGCAGUAACUUUCCACGUGUCUGAAACUAGCAGCUUACCACUGGAGUGAAUUCACUUACCAGUUCUACCAUUUUCAGUGGAAGUGUUCUAUAACAACAAAACAUUUGGGAGGAAUUUGUUUUCCACGUGCCCGGUAAGUGCUACUCCCUCCACUGUAAAAUAGGCUGUUGGUAAAGGAGAAGUAAUUACAUUUGAAUCUCUGUAUAUGCUAUUUAUAACUUACUUGAUGUAUAUUUAAGAAAAACAGAAGUGUGCAGUGGAUGAAGUACCUCUUUGAGAAAUACAAAACUGGCCAUGCUACAGUCAGUGACAUUCUAAUAGAAUGCAGUGCUGUCUUCUUAUUUCUUGCUGUUUGCAGCAGAACAGAGAUGCGAGUUCAGUCUAAUGUCUGCAAUUAAAACUUUAAAUGUUCCCUACUUUGU
rnacentral:lncRNA from 7 species